AGUGAACGCUGGCGGUAGGCCUAACACAUGCAAGUCGAACGGCAGCACAGGAGAGCUUGCUCUCUGGGUGGCGAGUGGCGGACGGGUGAGGAAUACAUCGGAAUCUACUCUGUCGUGGGGGAUAACGUAGGGAAACUUACGCUAAUACCGCAUACGACCUACGGGUGAAAGCAGGGGACCUUCGGGCCUUGCGCGAUUAAAUGAGCCGAUGUCGGAUUAGCAAGUUGGCGGGGUAAAGGCCCACCAAGGCGACGAUCCGUAGCUGGUCUGAGAGGAUGAUCAGCCACACUGGAACUGAGACACGGUCCAGACUCCUACGGGAGGCAGCAGUGGGGAAUAUUGGACAAUGGGCGCAAGCCUGAUCCAGCCAUACCGCGUGGGUGAAGAAGGCCUUCGGGUUGUAAAGCCCUUUUGUUGGGAAAGAAAUCCAGCUGGCUAAUACCCGGUUGGGAUGACGGUACCCAAAGAAUAAGCACCGGCUAACUUCGUGCCAGCCGCCGCAGUAA
rnacentral:rRNA from 1 species